GGAUUACUUUCUGAUUGGGCCGGUCUCUUGUCAAUGUAUGAGCUCUAACUCCAGGCACUACGAUCUUUUCUCUUCGAGACAAAUAGCGUUUCGCUUUAGGAUGCUGAAGGCACCGCUCUCGCAUCAGGACCAGAAGUCUGAAUGGGAUGGAGACGAUAAAAUAGAUCUGGAGCUGAGAAAACAUGCCAUGAGUCAGAGUAUUUCCGUUCUGUAUCUAAGAGGUCUUAGAGCAAGCCAGCCAGGAACCUGACAUCAAAAGAAUGCACACAAGGUACCAAAUGAAUAUUGUUAAGAAAAGUGUCACUGUUUUAUUGUGUGUAAUAUCCACGUCUGAAUUCCAUAGUUAACGGCUUCCUUUUCCCUUUACGCAGAAAAAUGUGCUUCGCUUAUUAACACAGGACUGGUUGACUAGUUUAUCGACGCCGUUUAGUUUCAUUUCGGUUUUAUUUAUGGACUUCUGCAACCUCUUGCACGUUCCACCAUUUGCGAUUACAGGAAGUUUAUUCUCAAUUGGACUCAUCUGAGAAUCGCAGUCACAUCACUGUGAUAGAAGUGUGGACAGUAAAAUGUGAUAAAUGUCCCUCUGUAAUUACACCGCGG
rnacentral:lncRNA from 8 species